rnacentral:misc_RNA from 1 species
AAGUCGUAACAAGGUUUCCGUAGGUGAACCUGCGGAAGGAUCAUUAACGUAUCUGCCCUCGGGGGGUGAGGGCGGCCCUGCUCCGGCACUCGCCGUGCAGCGGGUCACCUCCCCCCCGAUCACCACAAACCCACUGUGCACCUUUCGCGGUGGAGGGUGCGGCGCGAGCCCGCCCGAAGCCGCGGUCUCACAGACUCGUCCUGGAAUGUCUUGCGGACUCGUUCCGCCCAUAAACAGAACAACUUUCAACAACGGAUCUCUUGGCUCUC